UUGCUAUACACUACCAUAACAGGAAUAAUAACGUGCUGCUCAUAGCAUUUGUCUAUAGUGACACAUAAUUCUUUCAAAAAGUAAUAAAAAAUAAUAGCUAUCAAGAAGCGACUUUGCUAGCCAACUGAAUUUUAGCCCAGCUAAAUGAACGAUGUUGGAUCACUAAAUAGAUCAUGUUUUUCAGAGUAAACACUUACAAAGGACGAGUCUCCAGGCGAAAAUUAAUUCAAACUUGAUUCAGGUGCUUUCGCUCAAAGAAUGGAGCUUCAUAAUUGGAUAGAAGUUAGUUUUUGUUUGAUUAAUACCAACACUCAGAUGACUAUAAUUUUUUUUUGGUUGCUCGAAGAAUAGAUAGAACUAGGACUAAGAAAAAACAUUUUCUAUACACCCGCAAAACAUUAGAUACACCUUACCUUUAUUGAACAUAGCCUUAACGUUGGAAAAAAAUUCCAGCCCUGAUUCUGAGACCUACACGAGACCUGUGCCAGUGCCUUUAUGUCUUUAUUUUCCAGUUAACAAUUUUUUUAAAAAAUGCCUUUUUAUUGCUUCAGCAUACAAAUGGUGAAAAUCCCUGGGUUGGCAUUGAUGGAAGGACUGAUGAUAUUUCUGACAUGAAAACGUGGAAGCUUGAGAUGAUUUCUGAUGCCAUUGACAAAAACAAUAGAGAAAGAUGAGGCUGAAGAAGAAACAUAAGAGCUCACCAACCAGGUAAAAUGCUAACUCCAUAUCAUAGAAAUAUUCUCUUUAGUAAAUGUUUCACGACAUAAGGGUGAAUUUGGAUAUACCGCAAGAUCUUGUGCUUGUUGAUGAGGCUGGCAAAGCUAACUUUGGGUGAGUUUGGAACUCAAGCCAGGACAAUCCUUGUCUUGCUAGGGAAAGGAGGCCAUUUGGCUAUGCUAGCCACUAUUGCUGGCAACUGCAAAAGUUAUCUUACCAUCAGAGCCUCGGAGGAGAUUAUUAAGAUUGAUGUGCAAGCAUUUAGAGAAUAUAUGCAGAUUCUUCAGAUCAAUGCAGGAGAAUGUUGAUUAUGAGAGCAUACUGUCAAACUUCUUAAAUUGGGAUUCUUCUUUAACAGUAUAUCCAUACAAGGUACCUAAACGUAGGCAAGUUACUGUCUUGCAAGCAAGUAAUAGUUGAUAUGGAGGAAGAAGCUGAGGUUCUAAUUGGCACAGAAAAAAAAUCUUAAUAAUCCAUAAAAGAGGACAGUUUUUGUAGUUAUCAACAAUUUUUUGGCUAUGCUAUCCAGUUUUUGCAGUUUUUGUCGUCUGGUAGGAAAAAAUAGCUUAAUAGAACACGUUUUUGAUAUUUGCAUAGUUAAACAUAUUGACGUGACCUUCAGUUUUACAGCAUGGUUUAGUUAAUGUAAGAUGAAGAUUUCCUGAUAUAUCAAGGAUUUUACAGCAUGGUUUAGUUAUGUGUGGAAGCUGCAGCAUCUUGCCAAUUAGUUUCCUGAACUUCCCACUAAAGUCAAUUUUAUUAUUCCUCUGCUUCUUUGUCUCAUGGAUAUCGAUGCAACUGCUAUAGGUUAAUAAAUGCUAGAGACCACCACCCUUGAGUAGGUUUAGCUAAACAUACAAUAUAUGAUGGUUAUUUCUGCUACGGUGCUACCAGAGGUUUUGCCAUGGUUCUAAUUGUGUAUGGCAUAUUUGCCUUCUCAGGUGUUUCUUUCUGGAUUUGCUCACUGCUCUAUGGAUCUAUUAAUUCAAUAAAUAAUGAAUAUGAACCUUUUGGCUAGAUGAGUUGACAUGAGUAGCUUGAAUGCCUUGGCUGGUAGCGGGGGCUUUGCCUUUUGAAUUGUUAGUCUCCUGCAAAACACUCGCACAUUACAAAAUGUUCAGACAGGUUUGGAGAAAUGAAACAGACCCAUGAGUGGAACACUCAUCCUUUCCAUGAAUGGAAUCGCACCUUAAAGGCCAAGCCAUCUAUAGAACUCUUAGAACAAGCCCCCUUACUUUUUUGAAAUAUUUGAGAGUAGCACCUGUAGCCAAUCAGGACCUGUAUACCCGGAAGCCAUACAUUAGUUAUGCAUACAUGUGCCCAAGAUAUAUUUGCAGCCAUGGUUUUAAAGGCGCCAAGGCGUCCUAAGGCGAAGGGGGGCGCUCCGACGCUUAGGCGACGCCUAGGCGGACGCUUUGGACGCCUAGGCGCCUAAGGCGGGCGUUUUUCUAAGGCGGAGGGGGAGCGCUUGGACGCUUAGGCGUCCCUAAGGCGACGCCUAGGCGACGCCUUUAAAACCAUGUUUGCAGCAUGCGGUUAUGUGUGGUGUGUGUGUCCAUGCCCAGCUUAUAGAAUCUCACAUUGCGUUUGAACUUCUACCCUGGAGAUUUAUCUCCUUUCAUCCAACUGGUUUUGAUCAUAGCCAGCUGCUAAAAACUAACUCUUAUUGACAAAGCCACUGAAAUAUUGGUUCUCACGUAUCGACACCUUUCAGUUAAAUACGAACUCAUUUAUUAUUGGAACCUUUCAACUGAACAUAUCAAAGCAAGGACAGUAUCUGAUAAGAGAUUUUUAUUGUGUUUCUUACAACUUUAUGUGACUAUUUAAUGGUUCCUAUUAUAUUGGGCAACGAUCAUUUGAUGUGUUUUAGGCAUGUUUUCCAAAAUAAGCAGACAUGCCAUUUAAUUUUGCUACACGUAGCAAAAACACAGCCGUACCAGUACUUCUCGACUGGUUGCUACAAAUCAAAUGAUUAGGCAUAUUAUGCAUUCCCUUUACAUAAGGUCCUAUUUCUGGUGAGCAUGCACGUAUCUACUUCUUUAGGAAAUUCAUUAAUUUUUAAUUCCCUUAUAGCAAGGUUAAUAAUGCUCACCUUCUUUAUAGUUAGUAUGUAUGCUCUAUUUUCUCAGCUAUAUAUUUGACCGUGGUUCUUUUUGUAUUUGUCUGAUAGGCUUAAUAUCAGAGGAACUGGCAAUGAUGAUGUAUAGUAAUUUUGGUAUGCAAGUAUGAUCAGGACCACCUUGUGUGGCUUGCGUGUUUUUGUAAUUCUUAGUGAUGACCCUGCAGUAUUCUUGUUGAAGAAAAUAACAUUACUUCAUAUGUAAUUAUUGAAUGUGUUGAUGGCGCCCAAAAAAGUGUUAUCUUUAUACAGUUGUUUGGAAGUUUUUAUUUUCCUUAAGACA